GGCUCUGUAGUGUAGUGGUUAUCACCCGGGAUUCUGAUUGUGCAACAUCGGUAUUCCCGUGACCCAGGUUCGAUCCCUGGCAGGGCCU
rnacentral:tRNA from 1 species